CAUUGGUUUGCAUCUAAAAUUUAUACUGUGACAUCGGUCUUCUCUUACUUCAGUGGAUAUCAGAUAAAGCUGAUGCUACAAGCAUAAAGUUCAAAUUUCACUUGAAAUGAACUUAAUGAUGGUGAUAAAAAAGCCCGAACUAUUUGUGUUCCUGCGCAAGAAAAUCACCUAGACCAAUUUUUUUUUGGGGGGAUGAUGAAAAUCACCUAGACCGAACUAUAUGCUUAUGUUGUUUCCUUUAGUUGCACCUUCAAAAAAGUCAGGUGAUGAAUUAGUAUGCUAUGUUUAAACCCGCUGCUAAAACCCUGAACAAGCUAUAAUUACUCUAUAUAUGGCACUUUGUCCACAUUGGAUGCCCUGAGCAUGUCUUCAUCUGGUUAGGAUUUGAUGGUGUAUUAGUUAGUUUGAUUGGCUGUUGCCACAUUUUAACUGUAAACCAAUCUAACUUGAUGAGAGUUGCUGAUUCUGCAGAUUGUAUAUUCAGUUUACUGGUCUCGCUUGUGUGAUGGGUUUUACAGUGUAAAAAUGUGGGAACUCCUUUUGAACAGCAAUGCGAUCUUGUGCUUCAGAACCACAGACAGCAAAAAACAUAGUCCUCCUUUUGUUUUCCUGGAUAAUAAUCAUUGGCUGUGGUCAACCUGGUAGUAGUGUUGUCUCCUAGGUGAUCAUGCAAUUUUAGUCUCUGGAUUUUAUUUUUUGCAAUUGCUUUUGCGAACUGGAGUUCUGGUCGCUCUCACUGCUGCAAGUGAAGUCUAUGUCCAAUGUACUUCCUGAAUGAGAUAUUCCAGAAUGAAAAAGGCAAUCAAUAUUUUCGGAAAAAUGGUUCUUCAGAGUUCUUUGUCUUAUAACUAAAAAAUGUCCUUGUAAUACCAUUUGAUCUUUCCAUAGGUUCCAAUAUUUGUUAUCUUGUCGGUAGCGGAAGAGUAAUUGGCAUAUGACAACAUAAUACCUGAGUGGGUGUGCAAACAAAGGCAAGGAAAGUUGUUCUCUGGUGAGCCAUUAUUUGCACAUGUCGAGCUUUUGAAUGGAGAAAGGCUGCACGUGUAUCCUGCAAUUUACUCACCUAAGCUAUUACUUCAUUGGCAGGAGCCGUGCAUUGUAUUUUGUCCUCACUGGAGUUUGCGACUUGGCCUAGCUGUUCAUUUGCUCAGACGCUGGCAUGGGGAUGAAAGAUCAUUACUCAUCUGGGAGGAUGGCAAGGAUAGCGACAUAGCUCUCUUGCCUUUUGAUCCGAAGGAGAUGAAGAUGAAGGUCCUUCGAUGUUCGUUUCUUUCGGGAGUAGUGUAGGGACCUCGCAUUAGCUCUGUCGCCUUUUCUUCACGAGAGUGGAGCGAUGUCUCACUUAUUGGGACUUGCGCUGUUUACACGAACAGUGUAAUGGUCAAUUACCAAUAAAAAAAGAGUUCAUUAGAAAGUUCUCAAGAUUUAAUAUUAGACAAGUGCUAGUGCAUGCAAAGUCAAACCUAGAGAAACCAAAAACAAUGUUUGAUUCACUCAAUUAUCCGUCACAUGGUUUUUAUAGUUGCAUGCAUUUAAAAAAUACUUAGUAGACUAGUCGUUGAUUGUUCUGUCUAGCGGUUUCUCUGUCGGAAGGACGCAAUUUUUUUGUUGGAAUACUUUAGGCAAUUUUUGUUGGACUUUUAUUAAUUCUACCGUCACAAGGCAUUUUUCAAUUCCACGUAUGGAAUUUCUUUUGGCCGCUCAAAUGGAUGGAACUCGUAGCGCAUGCGGGUGAUGAAAUUGAAAAUUGUCUUUGGAAAGUGAUGACAAGAUAAAAAAUUCGUUUGUCUCUCCCUUCCUCCUCUCUCCCUUUGCCUCCCUUUGCCUUCAAUUCCACAGAUAUCCGGCCAUUCGAUAAUCAAGCUCGGCCGUCUCCAUCGCCCGAGCUGCCAUAAUUUCCAUCCUC